AUAAAACUUACCAGGAAAGGUUAAAGGAUCUUAACAUGUAUAGCUUGGAGGAAAGACGAGACAGGGGGGAUAUGAUAGAAACAUUUAAAUACAUAAAGGGAAUCAACACAGUAAAGGAGGAGACUAUAUUUUAAAGAAGAAAAACUACCACAACAAGAGGACAUAGUCUUAAAUUAAAGGGGCAAAGGUUUAAAAAUAAUAUCAGGAAGUAUUACUU